UUGCACGCUGGCGGCAUGCCUUACCCAUGCAGGUCGCACGGUAACAGGUUAAGCUGACGAGUGGCGAACGGGUGAGUAAUACAUCGGAACGUGCCCAGUAGUGGGGGAUAGCCCGGCGAAAGCCGGAUUAAUACCGCAUACGACCUAAGGGUGAAAGGGGGGGAUCGCAAGACCUCUCGCUAUUGGAGCGGCCGAUGUCAGAUUAGCUAGUUGGUGGGGUAAAAGCUCACCAAGGCGACGAUCUGUAGCUGGUCUGAGAGGACGACCAGCCACACUGGGACUGAGACACGGCCCAGACUCCUACGGGAGGCAGCAGUGGGGAAUUUUGGACAAUGGGCGCAAGCCUGAUCCAGCCAUGCCGCGUGCGGGAAGAAGGCCUUCGGGUUGUAAACCGCUUUUGUCAGGGAAGAAAUCCUUUGGGUUAAUACCUCGGGGGGAUGACGGUACCUGAAGAAUAAGCACCGGCUAACUACGUG
rnacentral:rRNA from 1 species